rnacentral:ribozyme from 1 species
GCAACAAUACUUUUGCUUCUUUUGCACUUUGCACCUCUUUGGCUCUCUUCAUGACAUGAGGGUUUUCCUGUUUUGUUUUUGCGAAUGGACAAGAGAAGAUCUGGCUGGACAAAGAGAGAAAGAGAGACGGAGAAAGAUCAACUCACACACAAAAGAAAGAGAGCUUAGUUAGUUAUCACAAAUAGUAAUUUUUUCGUUUC